GUCCUGAGAUAGCUCAGUCGGUAGAGCAUGAGACCCUGAAUCUUAGGGUCAUGGGUUAGAACCCAAGGAAGGGCA